UCUCCCCAUCUCCCUCCUCCCUCCCGAUUUCAUCUUCCUCCUCCCUCCCAAUCUCAGCCCGAUGUCGCCCCGAGCCGCCCCCUGUCCCCGCCCCGAGCCCCCGUCCUAGCCAUCCCCAAGCUCCCCACUCCCCGCCACCGGCUCCAUGGAGGGCGGCUCUCCCUUCGCCGGGGCCAUUAAGAUCGACGCCAUGGACGGAAGGCGGCUCCACCUUGCCGCCGGAUCCCGCCGCCCGCGUGCUGGCCGCCGCACUCUCACGGGUUCUCUUCUCCCUCACUUCCUCUUCCUCUCUUGCUUCCCCUCUGAUUUUCUCACUCUCUUUCUCGUUUGAUGUUUUAUGCCGCCGCCCGCCUCCAUGUGCUCACUCCUGGCCUGCUCCGCCGCGAGAUCCGGCCGCUGCGGGUCCGGUCGCCGCGGCCUUGUCCGGUGCACGGCUCCGAUCUCCACCGGCUGCCGCCGCGUGUGGCUGCAAGGGGUGCGGGCUGCAGGUUCGAUUGGGGGCGAGCCUGGGCCCGACGCGGGCUCCGCCACCGUCGACCUCCUCUCCGGCCGGAUCCGACCUCCCCUGUCUCAGUAUAUUGCAGAGCAUUUCCAAGAUUUUACGGGAACCCGCUCAUCACGAACAAGUUCGAUUCGAGCGAAUAGUCGAGGAAAUUGCAGUUUCGAGCAUGCAACAGGUCAUGCCCUAUGAAGUUAGAUCCAUAUACCUAGAUUGUUCAUGUUGAUUGUAUUAUUUGUUUUUCUCCCACAUUGUCUCAAGGCCCACGUUGUCUGAAGGAAUUGGAAUGUGUACAUGUACAUAAGAUCGAUGACUUUUUAUCUGAUAAAUAGUGAUUACACAUUAAUCCUUUCAUCA